rnacentral:rRNA from 1 species
UCCUACCGGGAGGCAGCAGUGGGGAAGUUUUGCACAAUGCCCGAAAGCCUGAUGCAGCGACGCCGCGUGAGGGAUGAAGGCCUUCGGGUUGUAAACCUCUUUCAGGAGGAAAGAAACUCUUGGUGCUAAUACCGCCAAGACUGACGGUACCUCCAGAAGAAGCCACGGCUAACUCUGUGCCAGCAGCCGCGGUA